rnacentral:lncRNA from 1 species
AAUUUCAACCCAAAAUCCCAAGUUUACCAAUUAAAAACCCAUUCUUAUAAUUUCUUUUAGUACAAAUCGUUGGAAUUUAUUAAUCCAUAGGAUGACCUGGAGUUGCAGAGGUGCUGGGCUGGACUGGAAGGAGACAGGGAUUGAAAAUUUUUCUUUGUUUUGAUUUUUAUUUGAUAGUUUUUAAUUGAAUUUAAAUAUUUUAUUAAUAUUUUAUUCCACAAAGCAACAAAUAAUAAUACAAAAAUACAAUUUUGCCCUUGAAUUUAACAAAAAAUAGAACAAACUUG